rnacentral:lncRNA from 1 species
GCAAGGAUGUUUGUUUUAUUUAUUUUUAUAUAAAUAUUUUGUUUUUAAUUCUAGAUUGGUAGUAUUUUUGACUCGCGGUUAGAAAGCGCGAGAGUAUUUUUAUUGAUAAUUUAUUAAUUCACAUUUUAUUUUUAGGUAUGAACAUUUUAUUUUCGGUUCAGUACUAAAUUUGUUUUUUUUUUGGCUUCCGUUCAGUUGUGGUUUUGCUUUUUCAGUCUUUCAGUUCAAAAGAUAUAAAAAC